rnacentral:rRNA from 1 species
AUUGAACGCUGGCGGCAGGCCUAACACAUGCAAGUCGAGCGGAUGAAGGGAGCUUGCUCCUGGAUUCAGCGGCGGACGGGUGAGUAAUGCCUAGGAAUCUGCCUGGUGGUGGGGGAUAACGUCCGGAAACGGGCGCUAAUACCGCAUACGUCCUGAGGGAGAAAGUGGGGGAGCUUCGGACCUCACGCUAUCAGAUGAGCCUAGGUCGGAUUAGCUAGUUGGUGGGGUAAAGGCCUACCAAGGCGACGAUCCGUAACUGGUCUGAGAGGAUGAUCAGUCACACUGGAACUGAGACACGGUCCAGACUCCUACGGGAGGCAGCAGUGGGGAAUAUUGGACAAUGGGCGAAAGCCUGAUCCAGCCAUGCCGCGUGUGUGGAGAAGGUCUUCGGAUUGUAAAGCACUUUAAGUUGGGAGGAAGGGCAGUAAGUUAAUACCUUGCUGUUUUGACGUUACCAACAGAAUAAGCACCGGCUAACUUCGUG